UUGGACAUGGUGCACGGUGCACGUCCGCUCUUUGAGUCUUUCUGGCCUAUUAAAAAACAAAGCGCUUGAUGCGGGAUCCCUGGGUUCGACUCCCAGCGUCCGAA